ACGGUAACAGGGAUCAGCUUGCUGAUUCGCUGACGAGUGGCGGACGGGUGAGUAAUGUCUGGGAAACUGCCUGAUGGAGGGGGAUAACUACUGGAAACGGUAGCUAAUACCGCAUAACGUCGCAAGACCAAAGAGGGGGACCUUCGGGCCUCUUGCCAUCGGAUGUGCCCAGAUGGGAUUAGCUAGUAGGUGGGGUAACGGCUCACCUAGGCGACGAUCCCUAGCUGGUCUGAGAGGAUGACCAGCCACACUGGAACUGAGACACGGUCCAGACUCCUACGGGAGGCAGCAGUGGGGAAUAUUGCACAAUGGGCGCAAGCCUGAUGCAGCCAUGCCGCGUGUAUGAAGAAGGCCUUCGGGUUGUAAAGUACUUUCAGCGGGGAGGAAGGGAGUAAAGUUAAUACCUUUGCUCAUUGACGUUACCCGCAGAAGAAGCACCGGCUAACUCCGUGCCAGCAGCCGCGGUAAUACGGAGGGUGCAAGCGUUAAUCGGAAUUACUGGGCGUAAAGCGCACGCAGGCGGUUUGUUAAGUCAGAUGUGAAAUCCCCGGGCUCAACCUGGGAACUGCAUCUGAUACUGGCAAGCUUGAGUCUCGUAGAGGGGGGUAGAAUUCCAGGUGUAGCGGUGAAAUGCGUAGAGAUCUGGAGGAAUACCGGUGGCGAAGGCGGCCCCCUGGACGAAGACUGACGCUCAGGUGCGAAAGC
rnacentral:rRNA from 1 species